rnacentral:rRNA from 1 species
ACUCGAGCGGCGAACGGGUGAGUAACACGUGGGUGAUCUGCCCUGCACUUCGGGAUAAGCCUGGGAAACUGGGUCUAAUACCGGAUAGGAGCCAUUUUUAGUGUGAUGGUUGGAAAGUUUUUCGGUGUAGGAUGAGCUCGCGGCCUAUCAGCUUGUUGGUGGGGUAAUGGCCUACCAAGGCGGCGACGGGUAGCCGGCCUGAGAGGGUGGACGGCCACAUUGGGACUGAGAUACGGCCCAG